rnacentral:rRNA from 1 species
GAUGAACGCUGGCGGCGUGCCUAAUACAUGCAAGUCGAGCGAACGGACGAGAAGCUUGCUUCUCUGAUGUUAGCGGCGGACGGGUGAGUAACACGUGGAUAACCUACCUAUAAGACUGGGAUAACUUCGGGAAACCGGAGCUAAUACCGGAUAAUAUUUUGAACCGCAUGGUUCAAAAGUGAAAGACGGUCUUGCUGUCACUUAUAGAUGGAUCCGCGCUGCAUUAGCUAGUUGGUAAGGUAACGGCUUACCAAGGCAACGAUGCAUAGCCGACCUGAGAGGGUGAUCGGCCACACUGGAACUGAGACACGGUCCAGACUCCUACGGGAGGCAGCAGUAGGGAAUCUUCCGCAAUGGGCGAAAGACUGACGGAGCAACGCCGCGUGAGUGAUGAAGGUCUUCGGGUCGUAAAACUCUGUUAUUAGGGAAGAACAUAUGUGUAAGUAACUGUGCACAUCUUGACGGUACCUAAUCAGAAAGCCACGGCUAACUACGUG